UGCACUUUCGAAGGCAUCGUCUUUUCACACUGAUUCAUUUUUGGAUGCGACAGUGCAGCACAUUAAAGCACCUGGAGCUCGGACUCUUACCACCCGACUCCCGUAUUUAUUUUGAAUGGAGCUGUGUUCACUAGCACACACACAAGGGGAACAGUACAGUCAACUUCCAGAUCACCAUCCCGAAUGCAGUAAAUCAUUCCACUUGGGGUUGGAUUCCGUUUACGAAUGGCGACCUGGAGAUGCUGAAGGUACACCCAGAAGAGGCUCCACUUCGUUUUCAACUCCAUGAAGGCAAGGGCGCCAGCAAGUGAGGAAUGCUGAUGGGACUUUGAGAUAGCCUACAGCUUGGAGUUUCCAAAGCAAACAAAAAGAUGGGUUGCCUGGAGGAGUUACGAGCCAACAACGCAGACAUUCUGACAGAAUUUGGUGGCGCAUGUCCUGGAAAGACAGCAGGAUUCAUCAGUAAAGUUUGCUGAUCCAGACUUUUAUUUCAAGCCUCCAACUACAAUUCCCCAAAGCAUCGCAGGCAUCAAAAGGCCUGAUAAAGAAAAAGUCAUUUUACAUGUCAGUAGAUUUAAAAAAUAAGUAGGCUGACAUUUUCCUUUUUAUAAAUAGAUAUUUUUGAAUGUACUAUAAUUAAAAAAAAAAAAAAACACACACACACACACAUAUUGUCUUAUUUGUGAAAUCUGAAGGUUUAAAAGAUCAAAAGUUUCUGGGUAUGUAGGAGUUGUAUUUAGAACGAUUGCAGAGCAUCUUCAGUUUCCCUAAAACCAUUGUAGUUCCCAUUGACAGUGCACUUGUCACGGAUACAGGAGACGACACACGAUGGAAGAACACAUCGCUGGCCUCUUCCCAGAUGUUUGCCUUUCAACGCCCACUCAAGAACAACCCUAUAUGCCACCAAUCGGAGUUGCCUAAAACAAGAAAACCAUAAUACAGGGUGAUUAAAAAAAGAAAGUGCCAAAAUCAUCAUGUGAUAGAUCAAAAAAUUGUAUAUAUUAUUUAAAAAAGUUACAGAACUCUAGCUUGGACACAUGUUCAAUAUUCCCAACAAAUAAGCAGCACUCUACUAUAUGCAGCAGGAUUCAAAAUGAGGGGGAAAAAGUAGCGGCUUAUAGUCCGCAAAUUACGUAACUUCAAGUUUUUAAAUAAAGUGCUCUAAGGUGACAAUCACCGGCAAUUGAAAUACAUGAAGUAAUACUUGAAGUUAUGUUCAACACAUUUGCCUAUGUCAGUUUUAUCAUGUUUUUCAUUUUUGACAUAUUGCGUGAUGAU